UACAGGGGGUGCAAACGUUAUUCGGAUUCACUGGGCGUAAAGGGUGCGCAGGCGGUUGGGUGUGUCAGAUGUGAAAUCCCGAGGCUUAACCUCGGAACUGCGUCUGAAACUACUCGACUAGAGUACUGGAGAGGGAAACGGAAUUCACGGUGUAGCAGUGAAAUGCGUAGAUAUCGUGAGGAACACCAGAGGCGAAGGCGGUUUCCUGGACAGUUACUGACGCUCAGGCACGAAAGCAUGGGGAGCAAAAGGG
rnacentral:rRNA from 1 species